rnacentral:rRNA from 1 species
GUCGAACGGCAGCAUGAUCUAGCUUGCUAGAUUGAUGGCGAGUGGCGAACGGGUGAGUAAUACAUCGGAACGUGCCCUGUAGUGGGGGAUAACUAGUCGAAAGAUUAGCUAAUACCGCAUACGACCUGAGGGUGAAAGUGGGGGACCGCAAGGCCUCAUGCUAUAGGAGCGGCCGAUGUCUGAUUAGCUAGUUGGUGAGGUAAAGGCUCACCAAGGCGACGAUCAGUAGCUGGUCUGAGAGGACGAUCAGCCACACUGGGACUGAGACACGGCCCAGACUCCUACGGGAGGCAGCAGUGGGGAAUUUUGGACAAUGGGCGAAAGCCUGAUCCAGCAAUGCCGCGUGUGUGAAGAAGGCCUUCGGGUUGUAAAGCACUUUUGUCCGGAAAGAAAUGGCUCUGGUUAAUACCUGGGGUCGAUGACGGUACCGGAAGAAUAAGGACCGGCUAACUACGUGCCAGCAGCCGCGGUAAUACGUAGGGUCCAAGCGUUAAUCGGAAUUACUGGGCGUAAAGCGUGCGCAGGCGGUUGUGCAAGACCGAUGUGAAAUCCCCGAGCUUAACUUGGGAAUUGCAUUGGUGACUGCACGGCUAGAGUGUGUCAGAGGGGGGUAGAAUUCCACGUGUAGCAGUGAAAUGCGUAGAGAUGUGGAGGAAUACCGAUGGCGAAG